CAGGCCUUAAAAUAUCGUUUACAAGGCCGUCUGACAAAAUGUCCGAUGACUGUGAGUUUGGGUCGGACAUGUGUAUGAUGAUGUCCGAUGACCUUCAGUUCAGUUUGCCUCCGAAAUAAGUCUGAAUGACACGAAUUAAUAUCAGCACAAUGUAUUAAUUCUGAGCGGUAAAUGUUGUGAAAAUAUUAAAUAAUUUACGUCAUUCAUGCAUACUUAUUUCCAAGCCAAAUUAACUUGCUUGCCAAAAACAGCAGUAAGACUUUGUCAACUUAAGCAAUAAGCUCCUUUUCCACUUCACAUUUUCCAUUUAACAUAGUCGAGCCUCUAGUCCUGGACUAGGGUACACUUUGAUUUACGUUGGACAAAGCUACCGUUCGGUCGGACACCAAUACACUCGGGUCGGACAAACAAUAAACCUCAGUUUCACUUUGGUCGGACAGAAUGUCCUGUGGUUUCCUCACUACGUCGGACAAUUUCACGAAUGGGUCGGAC